GACGAACCGAGCGAACGUUGUUCGGAAUCACUGGGCUUAAAGGGCGCGUAGGCGGGUGUGCAAGUCUGUGGUGAAAGCCUCCAGCUUAACUGGAGAAGUGCCGUGGAUACUGCACAUCUUGAGGAGGGUAGGGGCAUCUGGAACGGUCGGUGGAGCGGUGAAAUGCGUAGAUAUCGAGAGGAACACCUGCGGCGAAGGCGGGUUGCUGGGCUGACACUGACGCUGAUGCGCGAAAGCCAGGGGAGCGAACGGG
rnacentral:rRNA from 1 species